rnacentral:rRNA from 1 species
AUGGAACGCUGGCGGCCGGCCUAACACAUGCAAGUCGAGCGAGCGGCGGACGGGUGGGUCAUGUAUGGGGACUGCCCGAUAGAGGGGGGUAACUACUGGCAACGGUAGCUAAUAACGCAUACUAUCGGAUAACCCAUAUGGGAUUGUCUAGUAGGUGAGGUAAUGGCUCACCUAGGCGACUAUACCUAGCUGGUCUGAGAGGAUGAUCAGCCAGACUGGGACUGAGACACGGCCCAGACUCCUUCGGAGGCAGCAGUGGGGAAUAUUGCACAAUGGCGGCAAGCCUGAUGCAGCCAUGCCGCGUGUAUGAAGAAGGCCCUAGGGUUGUAAAGUACUUUCAGUCGUGAGGCGUUACCGACAGAAGAAGCACCGGCUAACUCCGUGCCAGCAGCCGCGGUAAUUC